GUGGCAUCUCCGCUGCGCACCGGCACUCCUGUGGGUAUAAGGAACAGCAGCCUGAGAGACACGACCACGAGGCACUUCCAGGGCUGGAACAGUUUGCCUAAUCAGUGACUGCCCUGCAGAGCUCCAGAGAAGGCGUUACAUCGGAUGGGAGUGGAAGAGAACAGGAAGAUGUGGUCCAGAGGAAACCUUCACUAGAUCUGUCCCGGAGGGAGCAUUGCCUUCAGACCUGCCUGCCAGCCACAGGCCCCGGAUCAAGCACCUCCGACCUCAAGAGCAUCGCAACCCACCUCUGUCUCCCGGCAAGUGGCGAGAGCGAGCUAGAGGCUCUAGUUUCCCACAGCUCAGAGGUCUGUCUGCAUGUAGAAAGGGAUUCUUUGGCCUCUCCCCACACCGCCCCAGAUCUGGGCCUGAUAAUCACCUGCCGGGGCACUCAGCAUGGGAUGGGGUUUGGGGGCAGGACCCAGAAUCUCAUCUUUGCUAAUGGCCAGCUCCAGCUAAAUGCCAGUGUGACCUUCAGUGCUGUUGGUUCAUCUCCAGGAACACAGGCCUGGGGCACAAAGAGAGGCUGUUGGAGUGAUCGCCCUGAUUCCAUGGACUCCCCCUGCAGACAUGGCCAGAGAGAAAUGUGAGGUCAGAGGUUUGAAUUGGAGAAUUUUCUAUCAGUUGGUCCAAGAAUUGAAGCAAAGAGAUGUCACCCCCUGGCACUGAAAUGCUCCCAUCUUCCACUGUGUCAGGAAAAGGAGGAGAAGGGAAAAGGAGCAAGAGAACCAGGAAACUGGAGACCAGAGGACAGUGCUCAGAGUUCCAGUGAGAAGCCAUGUUCAUCAUGUUCUCAGUGGUCAGGCCUGCUGCGAGAGCAACGCUAAGUACUGACUUGCCUUUGGAAGACAGACUGGGGCUCAGCUCGCUAGAGCAACGUUGACAUCCAGUGGUGAACCCGCCUCAUCACAGGUUCGGGAUUCUCAGGAAAUCACCUCACCGGGUGCUUGGCAAGGAGGG